AAAUUAAGCAACAGAAAUUGAUAUAGAAACAAAAUUAAGCAAAAGAAACUGAUUGAGAAAUAAAAUUAUGCAAAAGAAAUUGACAUAGAAAAAAAAUUUAGCAAAGGAAACUAUCAUAUAAACAAAAUUAAGUAAAACAAACUAACAUGAAAACAUAAUUAAGUAAAAGAACCUGACAUGAAGACAAAAUUAAGCAAAAGAAACUCACA
rnacentral:lncRNA from 1 species